rnacentral:rRNA from 1 species
UACGUAGGGUGCGAGCGUUGUCCGGAAUUACUGGGCGUAAAGGGUUCGUAGGUGGCCAACUAAGUCAGACGUGAAAUCCCUCAGCUUAACUGGGGAACUGCGUCUGAUACUGGUCGGCUUGAGUGCAGGAGAGGAACGCGGAAUUCCAGGUGUAGCGGUGAAAUGCGUAGAUAUCUGGAGGAACACCGGUGGCGAAGGCGGCGUUCUGGACUGCAACUGACACUGAUGAACGAAAGCCAGGGGAGCAAACGGG